GGGGUGUGGGGCAUGUCGCUAAAGGGAAAAAGACUUAUCUUGCAAAGUAUUAGUGUUUUUAAGUAUUAUAUUUAGUCUUUGUAAGUCAGCAGUCAAUGAGAUGAAUGAGACUGACUACGCAUGGUUCUUUGGACUGUUCAGUUUUUCCAAACCCUAAGCCUUUCAUAAAGUCCUGUCUCACAUGAUGUUGGGGGGAAAUAUGGGGUGUUUUGGUUUUUUCCUCAAUACUGGCUUGGUUGUUCUGGAACUUACUGUAAACUAGGCUGGCCUCGAACUUCCAUCUGUCUCCUGGGUGCUGGGAUUAAAGGAGUGCCACCACCGCCUAGCUUCUCCUAAUAACUAUAUGAUUUGGAUUUUCCAGGUGGGUUUCACCUAGCCUUGAGAAUUCUCCCCUGCUAUACUAGACAUGAACUGCAUUAGACUGACUUCUGUCUCCUAUAUCUGGUUUUUGGUGCAGGCAGGGUCUACUUUCCCAACACUGAAGCCACCGACAUCUGCUUUUUAUGUGGAUGCUAAGGAGAUGCUUUGGUGUAAGUUUUGAACUAAGGGUGGUGGAUUGUGAGAUAGUGUGUGCUUGUUUGUUCUUGAGUCAUGAGUGGACUGUGUCUAUUAAACACAAAAAGCCACUCGGAAAUGAAGAGAGGAUGAGACUGAAGCAGAAGGCCUUGAGGUCAAAGAGCUGUGACAGUGUUGGUGUAGUGUGAAAUGUUUGCAAGUUCUCUGGUUACAUUGGCUUUGAGGUUUUUCAAGCAAUAAUCUCAUGUAGCCUAGGCUAGCCUAAAAUUCAUCCUGUAGUGGAAGGUGACCUUGAAGAACUAACUGCUCUUCCACUCCUGUGCUGGGAUAAUAGGACUAUGUCACCUGUUGGCAAGGGUUCAAAUUUUUUGUUUUAUUUGUUGCUUGGUUGGUUUUAUGAGAAGGUUUCUUUGUGUGGCCCAGGUUAGCCUGGAACUCUGGAGAUCUGCCCACCAAGUCCUAGGACUGAAGGUGUGUAACACCUCACCCAUCUUUCAAGUUGAUCUUAUUUAUGAAAGUACUAACCCUUGCUUGUUCCUUUUGUGAUUCACUAAAUGAACUGAAGUAGAGAGGUGCUCAGGAUCACAUGUCACAACUACAAACCUAGCCACAAGCUUCGAGCUCACAGAGCUCCUCUGGGAUUAAAGGUAUGCACCACUUCUGACCCUGGAACAGUGCUGCUUAAAUCAGUGUUUCCUAGUAGCACCAUUAAUUAAGCCAAGGUAGUUUCGUUACAGUUUGUACCUUGUUAUCAGCUCCCUUGGGUGUUGGUAGUGAAAGAAAAUAAAAGGUCAGCCUGCUUUGUGACUGGGCAACUUCAGAUGAGUGCUAUUGACAAAUUAGUAUUGGGUAGAUUUAAGAUACAGUUCAUGUAGUCAGGAAUGUAAUACUAUGGAUUGUGUUACAUGAAAUGGAGUUAUCUUUGCUUGUGAAUAUAAAAAUUUAUACAAUUAGAACAAUUCUGUAUUCCCGGGUAUAUAUUAGUUGGUCUGAUACAAACUAGGGUAUAAACUGAAAGGAUUCUUUUACCUUUUACUUUAGAAUACAGUACUUUUAGAGCCUGUCAUGGAGCAGAAGGUCUUGGUUACAAAAGUGCAAGCCUUGUAUUAGCAUAUAUUAUAUGAUAGCAGAUUUCAUUGACAUUUCAUACAAAUACAUAUAAUUGUGGAAAACC
rnacentral:lncRNA from 1 species